AGUGAACGCUGGCGGUAGGCCUAACACAUGCCAGUCGAACGGCAGCACAGUAAGAGCUUGCUCUUACGGGUGGCGAGUGGCGGACGGGUGAGGAAUACAUCGGAAUCUACUUUUUCGUGGGGGAUAACGUAGGGAAACUUACGAUAAUACCGCAUACGACCUACGGGUGAAAGCAGGGGAUCUUCGGACCUUGCGCGAUUGAAUGAGCCGAUGUCGGAUUAGCUAGUUGGCGGGGUAAAGGCCCACCAAGGCGACGAUCCGUAGCUGGUCUGAGAGGAUGAUCAGCCACACUGGAACUGAGACACGGUCCAGACUCCUACGGGAGGCAGCAGUGGGGAAUAUUGGACAAUGGGCGCAAGCCUGAUCCAGCCAUACCGCGUGGGUGAAGAAGGCCUUCGGGUUGUAAAGCCCUUUUGUUGGGAAAGAAAAGCAGCAGGUUAAUACCCCGCUGUUCUGACGGUACCCAAAGAAUAAGCACCGGCUAACUUCGUG
rnacentral:rRNA from 1 species